UCAUAUUGGUAAUUGAAUUGCUUGGAGAGCACUGUCAUCCAUGAAGGAUAGUCAUUCUGCUCACGAUAAUGGCUGCAUGCAUCUUGAGCUCCAAGGAUAAAACAUAUGUUUUUCCAGGCUGCAAACUUAUGCGUCCUUUUCCGUAUGGUAGUAAUAUUCACCAAUCACCAUACUGAAGAAAUCCUUGUUGAAGAAAACCAGCUGCUUCCUUUCUAAUAAACUUGAUAGAGAUUGUAUUCUGUUUUUAAGGACAAAAUGGCUUGGCAAAAUAUUGAUGCCGGAAAAAAAAGAUGAUGCCUUUUAUUGGUAUAAGAUGCCUAAACUGAUAACAAAAAUUGAGGGUCAUGGAAAUGGCAUCAAGACCUGUUGAAGUAC
rnacentral:lncRNA from 1 species